GGACGGGGUUGGGGGGAAUUACCAUUAGCAGUUGAAGUGGUAGGAAAUUUUUACAUAGGAGAGUAUGGUGAUCAUAUUUGCAUUUUAGAAAAUAAUGGAUAGCAGUUUGUUAGGGGAACAAAGGACAGAGACAGGGAGACUAUUUAAAACAUUAAUAAAAAAUACCAGUGACAGAUGAUGAGGCACCUACCUGAUGGGAAUGGAGAAGAGGAGAUGGAUUCAGAAACUACUUAGGAGAGGCAGGCAGUCCAAGGCUGAUGCCCAAAGAAGCCAUCAAGACCCGUGCUACUUCCAGCUCCUUCUGUCCUCAUAAUCAUAGAUGAUUGCUCCACAUCCAGGGUGGAAUGCAAUGGUAUGAACACAAGGCUCACUACAACCUCUACCUCCUGGGCUCAAGCGAUCCUCUCACCACAGCCUCCUGAGUAGCUAGGACUACAGCACCUAACACCAGUACUCAGUUAAAUUUUUUGCUGAAUAAAUCAAUGAAUGGAGAGGUAAAGAGGAACCAGAAGUUGGGGUUACAGAAGUCACUGAUGGAAGAGUUUCAAGAUAGUAGAAGUGGUCAGCCCUGUUAAGUGACAAGCCAAGGACUGAAGAAAGACUGGCAGAUUUGGCAAUCAGAUGAAGUGACCUGACCAAAGAGCAGCUUGUGUGAAGUAGUGAGGACAGGCGCUGGUCUGCGACUGGUUUAGGAGGAAAUGGAAAUGAAGAAGAAGAGAUAGGAAAGUGGAGAUUAUAUGAUGACAAGUAUCAAGAUAAAAAUGAACACAUUUGGCCUGCUACCUGAAUUUUUUAAAUCGGCUCACCAAAAAAUAUCAGGCUUAUUGAAAUAUUGGAAUAUCUGAUGAAGUUUCCUCUUAUCUUUGAGCUGUUUGGGUUUGGGUAAAAUUUCAAUGCUUAAAAUUCACGUCUACAACUAGCAGGCAGAACCUUAAAGUCCAGAACCAUUAAAGGGUUUAAUAAUGGUGAGGCAUAUGAUGAUGCUGAUGAUGAUAAUGUUUCUUUCUUUCUUUUGUGAUCUUAAUCACUGUGUGAUCUUAACUAGUUUGAAAUGAGAAUUUCAAUGGAGACAGUAGUGUAAAUUUACCAACAGAACAAUUACAGUCGUGACAAAACAAAAACUAUACAAGCAUAUUUUUGUUCAUUCUAUAAAUUUGUACUGAGUACUUUAUAUACACUAGGCAUUCUGACAGAUAUAAUUAUGUGGGUAUAAAAUUUAGUUUAUUUGAUAGUUGCUUUCCCCACCGCCUCCAGAAAUUCUUGAUUUAGUUGGUAAAGAAAAUCAGUUAAGCAAAUAAGUUCACUAUUUGUAGAAGUGUAGAUGGGUUAUGGUGGGGGCACAAAAUAAUAAAAUAAUGUAUUUAAAACUAUUUUCACAUCUGUGAAAAGCUCUAUACAUCUGUGGCAUUAAGACUAAAGAGAAUGGUAUCAAGUCAUAGCUGCUUUCUAGAAAACAUGCAUGAGACAUUUAGGACCUCUGCAUAUUACCACUGAGUUGUUUUUCUUUUAAGGGGCUACAAAGGAGUAUGUUCAGCAUGAUCUUAUUUUUAUUAAAAUUAUACUUUCUAUACAGAAAAAGACUAUAAAAAUACACACUUAAAACAUUAGCAGUGACCCACAGCUAGUAUCAUACUGAAUGGGGAAUAACUAAAAGCCUUUUCUCCAUGAUCUAGAACACAACAAAAAUGCCCAUUUUUACCACUAUUAUUCAACUUAGUACUGGAAGUUCUAGCUAGGGCAAUCAGACACGAGAAUGAAAUAAAAUGCAUCCAAAUUUGAAAGGAAGAAGUGAAA
rnacentral:lncRNA from 1 species